GGGCCUCGCCCUGCCCCGCGGCGGGAACGCGGCCGUGAGGGUGUGGGGUGUAGGUCCGCCAGGCCUGCAACGGCUGCCGAGGGUCGUGGGAUGCGCUCGCCGCGUCCCUGCUCAGGCGGAGGGAGCCCGGCCCGCCGCCAGGGUCUCGAGUCCGGGUCCAGGCAGGCGUGGAGGUGGCGGGAACGGCGCACCGCCCGGGUGGGCGUUGUUUUAAGGCCGCAGGGCUUGGGAGGCUUGUGUUGAGUUACAGGUCGGCCCGUAGAUCCCCGGAAGCGCCUUUGGUUGCCAGCAGGUGUCGGCGAGGGUCUUCAGUGGCCACCCUCCUGGUGGUGAUGUUUCCGUUUCUUUCCAACAGGAGUAUGACAACUUUUCAACUUGAGUGCACACACUGUCCCCGGAAUCCCGCGUUCCAGGGAGGAAGCGCCUUUGACAGCGCGCGCCGGUUCGUGGGGCCCGACGGCGUGGGCCUGUGGUUGCGGACCUGGCGGAGAUGCGCGUUCGCUUCGAUUGUAGGCCAUUCCUUUUAGGAGCUGAGAAAGGAUCCGUUUUUACAGCAUUCUCGACCUGUGAUUCUUGGUGGGGGAAACUAGUUAUGUGGAUAAAAAUACAGUUAGCAAAAUAAAAAUGCCAAUUUUACAUUUCC
rnacentral:lncRNA from 10 species